ACCAUUAUCCACUUCUCUCUUUCUUCCUGUUUUGUAGGUGGGACUCCCCCCAUCUCAUAUCCUUUGUUUCUAAUGGAAGUUCCCAUCCUGAGAAACCAUGAAUGCAGUUUGGUUUUGUUGCACUCACCUUUAGGAGCAUGAGACUAGGAUUUUUUCUGCAGAACACAAGAUGAAAAACUUGCUAUCAAGGCCUGAGGAACAGCUGUGGUGCUUCUCUCUGGCAUGUUUUCUGAGAAGGUCCUGAAUUGUAACUUAAAAAUUAGCAGAGAGAGCAUUUUAGAGGUAAUGCUUCCAGAAAGAGCAAAUGGGUGGAAAAGCACUGGAAUUGAGAUGCUUGGAAAACCCUUUUGCCAUAAUGACUGCUGCCAUAGUGACUCUAUUCAAGUACCAGGCUAUUUGGCUAAAACUAAGAAUUUGGUUAAAACUGGUGUAUUUUUUUUCCAUGUUUUUCUAUUUAUUUUCUAUUUCUCUGGGUGUAUUUCUCCUUUAGAACACUGUGAAAAUUACAGGCCUGCUACUUGGCCAAGGAAAGAAAUUUCAGGUCUGUCAGUUUGCCUUUUGUUGCAGGUAAGAUGGGCAGAACUGUACACAGUGGUGGUUCUUAUUCCUC